UCUACAGCAUUCAAAUCUGUAACAGUCACUUCUCCUAUCUAUAUAGGACGUAUAUAUUAAGGACAUAUAUUUUUCAUUUACUACAUUACUACUACUGCGGAAUAUAGGUCGUUAAAAGAAUGCCGUAAAAAUUAAGAAUAAAAUUAUUCUUAUUACCCUGUAUUUGUUUCAACAUAGUAUUACAGUUAUACCGAGUAUCCAUAAAAACCUAAUUGUACCCAUAUUUAAUUAAAAUACAGGACAAAUAUGAUACAUACUUAUUAAUAUAUUGUAAAUUGAAAAUAAAAAUGACUAAAGCAAACAUUAUAAUAAAUAAAUAAAAAUUAAGAGUUUAGACAAACAUUUUAUUGUUGAAUCAUUUUUCAUUAAAUUAUUAAGUUUCUAAUGUUUUUAAUAAAAUCUUGAAUUCUAAUAAAUUUUUAUUUACUUUUUAACUGCAGAUGUGUGUAUUUUAUUCAAAGUAAUUGCAUCAGUACAUAUUUUAAUUUUCUAAGCCCUAGUUAUACACAAAUUAAUGGUUUGCUCCAUAUACAAAAAUGAUUAAAUAAUUUGGCACAAAUUCCGUUUCAUUUUACUGUUGCAAUUCCUCAAACUAGUUAAGUAACUAAUUCGAUUCUCUACAAACUAUAAACUACAGGGUUCUAAGACACAGUAGCCUUCAAUGUGAGAUAUCUUACCGAAUUGUGCAAAUUAAGUAAACAAAAUUUCUUUAAGUAUGCAAGUAGAUGUCAUGUACCAUUAAAUGAAUUCUGGAAAUUAUUAAGUUAAGCUUAUAAGUCAAAAAACAUUUUACUUUUGUUCUUCAAACAUCAUUCUCAUAAAAACAUUACUUAUUGAUAAUAUUCUACGGAACACUGAAUCUAAUAAUAUAAAUUCAAGUUUAUGUAACAAAUUAUUUGAAUUAUUCCAGUUGCUUUGCAACAGAAAUAUAUGAAAACUACUAUUAAAACUCAGUCUCUUCAAUUCCAUUAUUUUCAUAUUAUUCCAGUGUGCUGAGCCUGUAAUUCCUAAAUUUGUUGUCAUUACUAAAAUUCAUUACUACCUAUUCUUAUAUGCUAUUGAUACGCUCGUAAAAGAGAAGGUAUGGUGUGG